UACGGAGGGUGCGAGCGUUAAUCGGAAUUACUGGGCGUAAAGCGCGCGUAGGCGGUUUGAUAAGUCGGAUGUGAAAGCCCCGGGCUUAACCUGGGAAUUGCAUUCGAUACUGUCAGGCUCGAGUCUAGGAGAGGGAAGCGGAAUUCCGGGUGUAGCGGUGAAAUGCGUAGAUAUCCGGAGGAACAUCAGUGGCGAAGGCGGCUUCCUGGCCUAAGACUGACGCUGAGGUGCGAAAGCGUGGGGAGCAAAC
rnacentral:rRNA from 1 species